rnacentral:rRNA from 1 species
GCACAAGCGGUGGAGCAUGUGGUUCAAUUCGAAGCAAUGCGCAGAACCUUACCAGCCCUUGACAUCCCGGUCGCGGACACCAGAGAUGGAGUCUUUCAGUUCGGCUGGACCGGAGACAGGUGCUGCAUGGCUGUCGUCAGCUCGUGUCGUGAGAUGUUGGGUUAAGUCCCGCAACGAGCGCAACCCUCGCCCUUAGUUGCCAUCAUUUAGUUGGGCACUCUAAGGGGACUGCCGGUGAUAAGCCGCGAGGAAGGUGGGGAUGACGUCAAGUCCUCAUGGCCCUUACGGGCUGGGCUACACACGUGCUACAAUGGCGGUGACAAUGGGAUGCGAAGGCGCAAGCCCUGGCAAAUCUCAAAAAGCCGUCUCAGUUCGGAUUGGGCUCUGCAACUCGAGCCCAUGAAGUUGGAAUCGCUAGUAAUCGUGGAUCAGCACGCCACGGUGAAUACGUUCCCGGGC